GACGAACGCUGGCGGCGUGCUUAACACAUGCAAGUCGAACGGUAAGGCCCUUCGGGGUACACGAGUGGCGAACGGGUGAGUAACACGUGGGUGAUCUGCCCCGCACUUCGGGAUAAGCCUGGGAAACUGGGUCUAAUACCGGAUAGGACUCCGGACUGCAUGGUCUGGGGUGGAAAGCUUUUGCGGUGUGGGAUGGGCCCGCGGCCUAUCAGCUUGUUGGUGGGGUGAUGGCCUACCAAGGCGACGACGGGUAGCCGGCCUGAGAGGGUGACCGGCCAGCAUGGGACUGAGAUACGGCCCAGACUCCUACGGGAGGCAGCAGUGGGGAAUAUUGCACAAUGGGCGCAAGCCUGAUGCAGCGACGCCGCGUGAGGGAUGACGGCCUUCGGGUUGUAAACCUCUUUCAGCAUCGACGAAGCGAAAGUGACGGUAGGUGCAGAAGAAGGACCGGCCAACUACGUGCCAGCCGCCGCAGUAA
rnacentral:rRNA from 1 species